AGGACGAACGCUGGCGGCGUGCUUAACACAUGCAAGUCGAGCGGAAAGGCCCUUCGGGGUACUCGAGCGGCGAACGGGUGAGUAACACGUGAGCAACCUGCCCUUAGCUCCGGGAUAGCUCCGGGAAACCGGAAUUAAUACCGGAUACGACCACAGCCGACAUCUGCUGUGGUGGAAAGGAUUCCGGCUAAGGAUGGGCUCGCGGCCUAUCAGCUAGUUGGUGAGUAACGGCCCACCAAGGCGACGACGGGUA
rnacentral:rRNA from 1 species